rnacentral:rRNA from 1 species
AUUGAACGCUAGCGGGAUGCCUUACACAUGCAAGUCGAACGGCAGCGCGGACUUCGGUCUGGCGGCGAGUGGCGAACGGGUGAGUAAUGUAUCGGAACGUGCCCAGUAGCGGGGGACAACCACUCGAAAGAGUGGCUAAUACCGCAUACGCCCUACGGGGAAAGGGGGGGAGUCGCAAGACCUCUCACUAUUGGAGCGGCCGAUAUCGGAUUAGCUAGUUGGUGGGGUAAAGGCCUACCAAGGCGACGAUCCGUAGCUGGUUUGAGAGGACGACCAGCCACACUGGGACUGAGACACGGCCCAGACUCCUACGGGAGGCAGCAGUGGGGAAUUUUGGACAAUGGGGGAAACCCUGAUCCAGCCAUUCCGCGUGUGCGAUGAAGGCCUUCGGGUUGUAAGCACUUUGGUCAGGAAAGAAAUCGUGUGGGUUAA